rnacentral:rRNA from 1 species
AGGAUUAGAUACCCUAUUAUAAAUUUGAAAAGUUUAGUAGUAAGUGAAAAUCAUGAAACUAAAAUUAAUUGGCGGCUUUUUAAAUAUUUUAGAGAAAUUUAUUCUUUAAAGGAGUCAACCCCAAAAUCUUACUUUUUUUUGUAUUAUUACAUUUCAUAUACCUCUAUUUAUUGGUUAUUAGUUUAAUUAUAAAUUUAGCUUUUUUAGAUAAAUCUUAGGGAAAGGUGUGGAUAAUAGAAAAGAGUGAAAUAAGUUUCAUUAAUUAGUAUUUAAUGAUUUAUUUUUGUAAUAAAAAUAAAAAAUAGAAUUUAAAAGUAAUAUUAGUAUAUUUUGCUAAUUUGAAUUAGUUUUUAAAAGUGUACAUAUUGCCCGUCCC